rnacentral:rRNA from 1 species
UGGGGAAUAUUGCACAAUGGGCGCAAGCCUGAUGCAGCCAUGCCGCAUGUAUGAAGAAGGCCUUCGGGUUGUAAAGUACUUUCAGCGGGGAGGAAGGCGAUAAGGUUAAUAACCUUGUCGAUUGACGUUACCCGCAGAAGAAGCACCGGCUAACUCCGUGCCAGCAGCCGCGGUAAUACGGAGGGUGCAAGCGUUAAUAGGAAUUACUGGGCGUAAAGCGCACGCAGGCGGUCUGUCAAGUCGGAUGUGAAAUCCCCGGGCUCAACCUGGGAACUGCAUUCGAAACUGGCAGGCUAGAGUCUUGUAGAGGGGGGUAGAAUUCCAGGUGUAGCGGUGAAAUGCGUAGAGAUCUGGAGGAAUACCGGUGGCGAAGGCGGCCCCCUGGACAAAGACUGACGCUCAGGUGCGAAAGCGUGGGGAGCAAACA